rnacentral:tRNA from 2 species
GGUCCCGUAGUUCAACGGAUAGAAUAGAAGUUUCCUAAACUUUAGAUGCAGGUUCGAUUCCUGCCGGGGCUA